UCUGACGGAGCAACGCCGCGUGAGUGAUGAAGGCUUUCGGGUCGUAAAACUCUGUUGUUAGGGAAGAACAAGUACAAGAGUAACUGCUCGUACCUUGACGGUACCUAACCAGAAAGCCACGGCUAACUACGUGCCAGCAGCCGCGGUAAUACGUAGGUGGCAAGCGUUAUCCGGAAUUAUUGGGCGUAAAGCGCGCGCAGGCGGUUUCUUAAGUCUGAUGUGAAAGCCCACGGCUCAACCGUGGAGGGUCAUUGGAAACUGGGGAACUUGAGUGCAGAAGAGAAAAGCGGAAUUCCACGUGUAGCGGUGAAAUGCGUAGAGAUGUGGAGGAACACCAGUGGCGAAGGCGGCUUUUUGGUCUGUAACUGACGCUGAGGCGCGAAAGCGUGGGGAGCAAAC
rnacentral:rRNA from 2 species